GGAGGAAAAGAAACCAACAGGGAUUGCCCUAGUAACGGCGAGUGAACAGGCAAGAGCUCAGAUUUGAAAGGCACUUUUGUGCCGUUGUAUUCUGAAGUUAGGGUCCUGAGAAACGAUGCUUAAGUCUUCUGGAAAGGAGCGCCAUGGAGGGUGAUAGCCCCGUCUAGCAUUGACCUCAUAUAGGAUCUUAACAUGGAGUCGAGUUGUUUGGGAAUGCAGCUCAAAUGGGUGGUAUGCUCCAUCUAAAGCUAAAUAUCUGCGAGAGACCGAUAGUAAACAAGUACUGUGAGGGAAAGAUGAAAAGAACUUUGAAAAGAGAGUGAAAAAGUACGUGAAAUUGUUGAAAUGGAAGGGUAGGCCGCUAACCAUGUAGAGCCGUGUUUGGGGGGAAGAUAAAUGCUGUAGAAUGUAGCUCCUCGGAGUAUUAUAGAUGCAGUUCAUAUUCCCACCCGAGCGCGAGGAUCUCAGGUUCUACUAAAUGGUGGUCUACCACCCG
rnacentral:rRNA from 1 species